UACAAUGCGAGAAAUCGUGAUAAGGGAACCCCGAGUGCCCGUAAAUUCGGGCUGUCCGCCAGUGCAAAUAGCUGGUGAAGAAAGGGCCGGGCAAGACCGGUGCCAGCCGCCGCGGUAAUACCGGCGGCUCGAGUGGUGGCCACUAUUACUGGGCUUAAAGCGUCCGUAGCUUGAUUGUUAAGUCUCUUGGGAAAUCCACCGGCUCAACCGAUGGGCGUUCAGGAGAAACUGGCAAUCUAGGGACCGGGAGAGGUGAGAGGUACUCCAGGGGUAGGAGUGAAAUCCUGUAAUCCUUGGGGGACCACCUGUGGCGAAGGCGUCUCACUAGAACGGCUCCGACAGUGAGGGACGAAAGCUGGGGGAGCAAACCGGAUUAGAUACCCGGGUAGUCCCAGAUGUAAACGAUGCGCGUUAGGUGUAUCGGUGACCACGAGUCAUCGAGGUGCCGAAGGGAAACCGUGAAACGU
rnacentral:rRNA from 1 species